rnacentral:rRNA from 1 species
UACGGGGGGGGCGAGCGUUGUUCGGAAUCACUGGGCGUAAAGGGCGCGUAGGCGGCCCGCACAAGUCUGCGGUGAAAACCCCCGGCUUAACCGGGGGCCGGCCGUGGAAACUGUCGGGCUAGAGGCCGGGAGAGGGCAGCGGAAUUUCCGGUGUAGCGGUGAAAUGCGUAGAGAUCGGGAGGAACACCGGCGGCGAAGGCGGCUGCCUGGACCGGCCCUGACGCUGAGGCGCGAAAGCUAGGGGAGCAAAC